rnacentral:lncRNA from 1 species
CUCACAGUCGAGUCAUGCCAUCGCUUACACUAUCUUUCAGACUCUAUUUCCUGUGGGAGGACUGGAUGUGAUGAGACCCCAGAGCCAGCUUUGCCUCUUGCUACCAUGCUCCUUAAAGGCCAGAGUUGUUUUCAAGUCAACUUUUGGGUCAACCAGCUACAACAUGCAGUGCCAGUUUAACAAAGAUGUGAAACUACAGCCGACCACGGAAAAUAUCACACCCUUAGAUGGACACCCUGUAAGGACUCUGAGGCCUGAGACUAGCAUGAGGGGGAGGCCCAAUACCCCUCACCACCCCAGUUCAGCAGGAAGUAGCCAAAAAGACCUCAACGCCCCUUUUCCCAACGAAUUGGGCCUCCCAUCUCGUGAGGGGGGAAUGUUAGGUAGGUAGAAUAGGGAAACGGAGUCCAAAAUGGCGGUGGCUAAAAAACAAGGAAGGUCAAAGGAAGCUCUGAGGACCAGACUGAAGACUUCAGGUAGAACGAACAGCACUCCUGGCUAAGCCCAAUUUGCACAGGGCAGGCCCAGGCAGAGGAAAAACAUAAAAGGAGGAGCCAAAUCGCUCUCUCUUCCUCUCCCGCAUGGGUGUGCUCUUUCUCUCUCUUUCUCUCUCUCUCUCCCCCUCUCCCACGCGCUCCUCCACUCUCUUCCCUUCAAGUCUUUGUGUUGGCAUGCCCUCACGCUUCAAGGAUGGAUUCUCCUGCUAUCUUCUAAAUAAAAUAGAGCUGUAACACUGAUUUGCCUAAGAGCUAUAACACGGUUUGUCCAAGACCCGAGAGCUGUGACGCGCCGAGGACUUUAAUGUCCGUCACUCCAAAUCUUUGUUGUGACGAGACAAAGAACCGAGGAACAUACACUCGCGUGACAUGUCCAUCCAACAAAUGCUCAGAACUUGCUCAGAAAAUCACUGUAUCCGGUGCUGUGGGAGAUGCAAAGAUGAAUAAAAUGUAGUCACUGUAUUAGUCAGCAUCCUAACUGAAAAAUAGGGAGACCAUUCAAACAAUUUGUAGCAGAGGGAAUUUAGUAUAAGGAACUGGUGAUAGAAGCACUGGGAAACCAAACGAGACGGCGUGGCAAUACAGAACUUCACAACACUUGGAUGAUACUACUGCCCUUAAGCUGGGGAAACGGAGAAGAACGAGAGGUUACCAGAGCCCAGG